AUUAUUAGGAAUUUGGUUCGUCUCGGUUGGUUACUAUGCAAUACCAGUGAGCGAAGAAAACAGUCGCUGCUAAGCAGUCUUGAAUUGUGGUGUAUGUUCUUGUGACAUGGAAUUUCUACCCUAUAAAAGACAACUACGCAAUUUCCGUUGGAAUAUUUGUUACGGGAAAGAAAAGAAUUGGUGAUAUCUGCUCUAGUUGAUGGACCGACAUCGACAGUAUCCUUUAUUUUGUUGCUGUUCCUCACCUGCCACCUUAGAAAACGAGCACUCUUUGUAUUCCGCUUCUUACUUGACUCGUGCCUCAACUGGCAAACAGGAUCGGACUAGCAGAUAAGAAAAGGUAAGGUAAUUGGCCCAACAAACACAAAAAUAUAUUUAUUUUUUCACGUCAUCUCCUUUUAGCUCCAAUAAAGUUCGAUACUCUUUUUAUAAUAAGAAUGGUUGAGCUCCUCAAAAUAGCCAUUAACUUCAGACAUCACCUCUUAAUUGUCGUCUGAAGGCUACCGUCCCAAGUCUAGGAACGUAAAAUAACUCGAGGGGACUAAAUCUGGUAAAUAUAUACCGAUUUUCCUCAGUUUUUUCAGAGAUUUUUCUACAAAACUUCUUGCGCUAUUACAUCGCUUUCAUUUGAGGUUUAAAUCCCACGUUACAAAAGUUUUCGCGCUCGCAUUUUAAUAUCCUAAUUGUGCUGACCUUAAGAAGUGACGUUUGGUGAUGUACUAAGUUGGGGCCGCCAGUUUACAAGGUGAAAUAACGCGCACCUUAUCGAUCCUGUUUUUUGUAGGCAGCUCCAAGUCUAUUAGUUCUUAUUAUCCUUUUCAUUAAAUUAAUGCUCGAAUUAACAUGAAAAUGUUAUACUUGUCAUUUAAAACUAAUCAGAUGCAUCAAAUUUGACGGGUUUCCACUACAGAUUCUUAUCUAAUUGAGUAUUUUCUUUCUUCAAAAAAUACCAAAAAUUUGUUGAUUUUGAUUUCCCGUACGGUAUUGUACGUUAUGUACCUCAACUUUAAUUUUUUCCAAACUAUCUCUUCGGACAAAUGAAAUUUUAAGAAGCUUUCAAAACGUUUCAUUAUUUUUAUUCAAAUAAGACGAAAUCGAAUCCUUUUGUGGUAAAAUCGAGUCAACACGAUGGACAUUUUACACUAGGGAAUCGGUUCUUUCGCGACUGAUUUGUUUCAUGGAUCGAGGGGACUUAACCUAUACCUAUACCAUAAAAACCAUAUAUUUUCCGUAUGUCUUCGUUUCUUCAUAUUUCAAAUUCAAUUUCUUUAUUUUUUCUUUAUGGCGGAAAACAUCAUAAUUGAGAAAACAUGAAGAUAUCUUAUGAUGUCUGAACUAAAUACGAAUACAGCAACAGUAUAGAAUCCUACAGCUUUUUUAUUGAUUUAUAAUGUCCGCGUUUUUGUUAUAGAUUGGAUAAAAAUGAUUGUUCUGUAAAUAAAUUUUAGAUUACGAGGUCUGGCUAUUAAAUAACGAGCCUAGAGGGCGCCCUAGACGGGUGGGGUAUCUAAAUAUCUUGUCUAUGCACGUCCCAAUCUCAAAUUUCUCGUUAAAUUAAAAAAAAAAUCCGGCUGAGUGCUAUAAAUUGUUGCAAGAGGCCUAUGGGGACAAUUAUCUAUCUAGUGCGCGUGUUUUUGAGUGGUGUAAACGCUUUAGUGAUGGCCGAGAGUGCACUGAAGAUCAUCACUGUUUUAACUCCGGAAACAUUGACCAAAAUCAACCAAAUUAGAUCGUGUAGAUCGUCGAAGUUGGUGCCUAAAAUCUGACUCCUGACCAAAAGCUCUUGCUUCAACGGGAAUGCUCAGAUUUCCUUAAAAGGUUGGAAAAAAAUCUGCUUUGAAAAGGGACGCGAUUUGAGUCGAUGGAAGCGGUAAAGCAAAAAACGGCAGAACUCCUGAAGGUCCUCACCAAAGAAGACUUCCAGCACUGCUUCGAUCAAUGGAAAAAACGUUUGGAAAGGUGUGUGUGGCGAGGGGAUGGGAGUUUAUUGAAGGGGGGCAUUAGAAUGUAGAAUUAUUUUUAUAAUAAAACCCUUUUUCGUUACGAGUCUAGUUAUUUAAUAGCCAGUCUUCGUAAAUCCAUUUUCGUAAUUUAUUAUAAAAACUUUUACAUUUCAAUUCAACUGGGAAAAGUACAAUUUUUGAACAUUCAAGAACAAA